rnacentral:lncRNA from 1 species
GGAGGGGAGGGGGCGGUGGUCUGUUCAGAACAAAGCGCGGGGCAGAAACUGAUACAUUAGGUUGCACGCGCCCCCCUUUCCCACGAGGCGCUCAAUUAACUGCCGCGCGGGUCCUCGAGCAGCUUUCUGGAGCUGAGAAAGUUCCACAUCGGAGCUUUUCGGUUACAAUUCCCUUUGUCUUUACAAGAAUUCCGCGUGGGGACUCCAUCUGCGCGCGCGCGCGCGCUCGAAAUACAGCCUCCUUUUGUGUCUUUUUUUUUUUUUUACAAAUGUGAGACCUGCGUGGUUUGGCGUUCCGUAAAAUGACGCACCUGGGUAUAUGUGGGCGCAGAUGUGUUUGGGGCAAUACUGCUCCGCGUAUUUUCUGAAGUCAGUGCUUUAUUAAAAGUGGAAUAAUUCAAUAAAAAGUAAAAACAAAAAUAACAGAGCAGGCAACGACAGGCGUUACGAUAUCAAUACGCAUACAGAACAUGGUGAACAGAGAGGAGUUCAUUUUUGAGACUCUCAGUGAGAGGUGCUGCGUGAGGGCCGCGAUGCGUCGCAGGAGCGGCACGAGAGCGACACGAGCGCGCGCAGCCCGACAGAUGGGGUCAAGAACCCGGGAUCAAUGAGAUGGAAAUUGAAGAACUUCGGCUGUAAAUGCGAGACUAUGGACAAAGGCAAUAGAAAUACAGCAAAACAAUGACAAUGAAUGACAGUAAGUAGCGCAACAGCAAUAAAUAAUGGUAACAGUAGUAACA